UAGAUUUUGGGUUUGGACCCUCGUCUUUUCAUCCUUUACCUUCAAAGGUUUCACACUCAGUUAAACCCUCGUCUUUUCAUCCUUUUCCUCCAAAGGUUUCACACUCGGUUUACGUUUUCCCCAAAUUCCCAAAUCCAAAACUAAACGCCACAUUCAUUUUCGUUUUGGUGAGUUUAGGGUUCAUCUCCCAAAUCGGUUUUUUCACCUAGGAUCGAUCAAUCUCGUCAUCAAACCUAGCAUUUCGCGGUUCACGAUGGGUUGCCGGAAGUAGGGUUCACUCCUUACAACAGUUUCACUCUGGACCAUGCCAAGGGACCAAGAUUGGGGGCUCCACGUUUGACAGCUAUGGCACAAGACCUUCAUCCAAGUUGAGAAUUUUUGUGUCAGAUCCAGUAUUCUGAGAAGGACUUCGAUGACACUUAUAAAUAUAGAGGAAGAAUGGCUAUAAUCCUGGGAAGCGAAGAGUGAAUCAUAAAAUGGAUAUGGAGAAAAGAGAAGAGAUGAUUCGGAUGACCGUUUAUGUGUCUAACAUUGAUCAACUGCUAGUUUGUAAUGAGUAUUCAUGUUAGUGCCAAUCACUAUUGUUUGGCUGGUUUGUUGAUUCUCCUAUUUCAGCUAGCUUGCAAUGUUUGCAACGUGUAUUCAUUUGAGCCGGUAUUGUGGAUUGCUUGCAAUGUUUGCCACAUGCAUUCAUGCUAAUGAUUGUUGUCUAGCUGCCUUAUGGAUUCUCUUGUUUCAAAAACUGAUACCAUGCUUGGAUAUUAUCCGCUGAGAGUGCUGCCUUCAAAAUCUGCCAUUGCACCUAUGAAUCCAACAUUUUUGCCUAUGUAUUUCUCAGUCUGAAGAUGAAAGGGAAAUGUGCUCAAGAAGCUCAGGACACAAGGUGCACACCAGCUCAAUGCCUUUCUAGGCUCUAUAUACAUACUUAACUUGGAAAGCUAGAAGUCCUCACAUUGGACCAAAGGAACGAUCAUGGACCUAAAUUACAACUUGCCCCCGAAUGUUUCUCUAACAACUCUUGAGGAGUUAGAUGGUGGAGUUAUGCUUCUCCGUUUGGCACAUCUAUAUGAGAUGUUGAAUAUUCAACUCUAACCAAAGUAGAAUUGAAGAAGUUGUUUGCCAAGAAAAUGGUACGUAGACAUUCUUUUCACACAUAAAAAGGGGUUUCUUACACUACAAAAAAAUUAUUAUUCAGUAGGGGUUAAUUUCUAGAGGUUAUAAAAAUCCUCUAUGGGAUGGAUUUUUGAAUUUUACCUUCUAACCGUUAAACUAAAAUCACUAUUCAUACAUGUAAGUGGAGACUCAUUGGACAACAAUUCUUGUAUUGGUGUAAGUGGAAGGUUUCUUAGUACUAA